CAGUCGCCACGGGAAUACGAAGGGGGCUAGCGUUGCUCGGAAUGACUGGGCGUAAAGGGCGCGUAGGCGGCGAUCAAAGUCAGGCGUGAAAUUCCUGGGCUCAACCUGGGGGCUGCGUUUGAUACUUGGUUGCUAGAGUGAGGAAGAGGGUCGUGGAAUUCCCAGUGUAGAGGUGAAAUUCGUAGAUAUUGGGAAGAACACCGGUGGCGAAGGCGGCGACCUGGUCCUUGACUGACGCUGAGGCGCGAAAGCGUGGGGAGCAAACAGGAUUAGAGACCCCUGUAGUCCCUGUCUCUUAUAC
rnacentral:rRNA from 1 species